rnacentral:rRNA from 1 species
GACGAACGCUGGCGGCGUGCCUAAUACAUGCCAGUAGAACGCUGAAGGAGGAGCUUGCUUCUCUGGAUGAGUUGCGAACGGGUGAGUAACGCGUAGGUAACCUGCCUGGUAGCGGGGGAUAACUAUUGGAAACGAUAGCUAAUACCGCAUAAGAGUAGAUGUUGCGUGACAUUUGCUUAAAAGGUGCAAUUGCAUCACUACCAGAUGGACCUGCGUUGUAUUAGCUAGUUGGUGGGGUAACGGCUCACCAAGGCGACGAUACAUAGCCGACCUGAGAGGGUGAUCGGCCACACUGGGACUGAGACACGGCCCAGACUCCUACGGGAGGCAGCAGUAGGGAAUCUUCGGCAAUGGACGGAAGUCUGACCGAGCAACGCCGCGUGAGUGAAGAAGGUUUUCGGAUCGUAAAGCUCUGUUGUAAGAGAAGAACGAGUGUGAGAGUGGAAAGUUCACACUGUGACGGUAUCUUACCAGAAAGGGACGGCUAACUACGUG